rnacentral:rRNA from 1 species
GACGGGGGGGCAAGUGUUCUUCGGAAUGACUGGGCGUAAAGGGCACAUAGGCGGUGAAUCGGGUUGAAAGUGAAAGUCGCCAAAAAGUGGCGGAAUGCUCUCGAAACCAAUUCACUUGAGUGAGAUAGAGGAGAGUGGAAUUUUGUGUGUAGGGGUGAAAUCUGUAGAUCUAUGAAGCAACGCCAAAAGUGAAGGCAGCUCUCUGGGUCCCUACUGACGCUGGGGUGCGAAAGCAUGGGGAGCGAACAGG